UCCAACCCGUCCAUGCCGACCAGAUAGCCCAACCCAAUCUAGUCCCACCGGCCAGCACUCGGCCCAUAUCCCUGAUGGAAGUGAGGGGAGUGAGUAGGGAUGAUUGAGGUUUGAAGGUAGGUAAGAGCUAAUGAGCAGGGUGAGGGUCGGGUGAAUGCAGUGGGUGAGAAUUGUAGUGAGAGUGAGGUGAUGGUGACAGUUGGUGAGAAACAUUAAAGGGUGGGAUUGGUGGGGUAGUGUGGGUGAAUGAAGAGAAGGGAAGGGUUGAAUAUGCUGAUGGAAAGAGGAUUAUUUGUUGGUGAGGGUGAGGGUGUUUGGUGAUGUGGUGAUUGUGCGAUUGAGGGGCUGGACUGGCAAGGUAGAGGACUGAGCUUUACACUAGGGAGGGGAUAGAAGGUGUUAUGGUGGGUGAUGAGCAUAUUGGUGAGACUGAGGCAUUGAGGGGUAAGUGAGAGAGGAAUGAUAUUGGGGACAUGGGCCAAAUGUAGGCAAGUGGGACUAGUUUAGUUUGGGAAACUUGGUUGGCAUCGCUGAGUUGGACUGAAGGGUCUGUUUCCAAACUGCAUGACUAUGAUCAGCAGAUGGGUGCCAGGGUGAGAGUGCUAUCAGGGUGGAUUAGGUGAAUCAGGUUAAGUGGGUGGGUGGGGGAAGAUGCUGGGAUAUGGGAUGAUGAGGGGAGCAAAGGUGUUUGUGACUGAGUUGGGUGAUAGAAUGAGGAGUGUGUUUUGGGUUUGAAUUUGAGGAGUAAGUUGGGGUUUGGGUGGGCUGUUUGAGCUAAGUGGGCAUGUCGGUGACUUGGGUAUGGAAGAGAGGAGUUGGGCUGUAUAAGGGGGAAAUAGAAGGGGUAGCUUUGGGGUUGGAGGCAUGAAGUGGUGGGGGUAUGGGACAUGUUAGAGAGUGGAGGUGAAAUU